AGAAUCCGAACACGUGUCCAAAUGUGCGCUGGGGGAAGGGAUAACACGUGAAAGUGGAGCGGAUGACGGGAGCUUGCUCCUUGAUUCAGCGGCGGACGGGUGAGUAAUGCCUAGGAAUCUGCCUGGUAGUGGGGGACAACGUUUCGAAAGGAACGCUAAUACCGCAUACGUCCUACGGGAGAAAGCAGGGGACCUUCGGGCCUUGCGCUAUCAGAUGAGCCUAGGUCGGAUUAGCUUGUUGGUGAGGUAAUGGCUCACCAAGGCGACGAUCCGUAACUGGUCUGAGAGGAUGAUCAGUCACACUGGAACUGAGACACGGUCCAGACUCCUACGGGAGGCAGC
rnacentral:rRNA from 1 species